rnacentral:rRNA from 1 species
CCUGCUACUCCUGCGAGCAGCCGCGUAUCCGAGGGUCAAGCUUAUCGAAUACUGGCGUAAAGCGCACGCAGCGUCGUCAGUCGAUGUGAAUCCCGGGCUCACUGGACUGCAUCGAACUGCAGCUAGAGUCUGUAGAGGGGGGUAGAUCCAGUGUAGCGUGAAAUGCGUAGAGAUCUGGAGGAAUACCGGUGGCGAAGGCGGCCCCUGGACAAAGACUGACGCUCAGGUGCGAAAGCGUGGGGAGGCAACAGGAUUAGAUACCCUGGUAGUCCACGCCGUAAACGAUGUCGACUUGGAGGUUGUGCCCUGAGGCGUGGCUUCCGGAGCUAACGCGUUAAGUCGACCGCCUGGGGAGUACGGCCGCAAGGUUAAAACUCAAAUGAAUUGACGGGGGCCCGCACAAGCGGUGGAGCAUGUGGUUUAAUUCGAUGCAACGCGAAGAACCUACCUACUCUUGACAUCCAGAGAACUUAGCAGAGAUGGAUUGGUGCCUUCGGGAACUCUGAGACAGGUGCUGCAUGGCUGUCGUCAGCUCGUGUUGUGAAAUGUUGGGUUAAGUCCCGCAACGAGCGCAACCCUUAUCCUUUGUUGCCAGCGGUCAGGCCGGGAACUCAAAGGAGACUGCCAGUGAUAAACUGGAGGAAGGUGGGGAUGACGUCAAGUCAUCAUGGCCCUUACGAGUAGGGCUACACACGUGCUACAAUGGCGCAUACAAAGAGAAGCGACCUCGCGAGAGCAAGCGGACCUCAUAAAGUGCGUCGUAGUCCGGAUUGGAGUCUGCAACUCGACUCCAUGAAGUCGGAAUCGCUAGUAAUCGUGGAUCAGAAUGCCACGGUGAAUACGUUCCCGGGCCUUGUACACACCGCCCGUCACACCAUGGGAGUGGGUUGCAAAAGAAGUAGGUAGCUUAACCUUCGGGAGGGCGCUUACCACUUUGUGAUUCAUGACUGGGGUGAAGUCGUAUCAAGUACCCAUGCCAC